UACGGAGGGUGCGAGCGUUGUCCGGAAUCACUGGGCGUAAAGGGCGCGUAGGUGGCCUGUGGAAGUCUGCGGUGAAAGUCCGGCGCUCAACGCCGGGUCGGCCGUGGAUACUCUCGGGCUUGAGCUUACUAGAGGCAGAUGGAAUUCCGGGUGUAGCGGUGGAAUGCGUAGAGAUCCGGAAGAACACCGGUGGCGAAGGCGGUCUGCUGGGGUAAUGCUGACACUGAUGCGCGACAGCGUGGGGAGCAAACAGG
rnacentral:rRNA from 1 species